UACAUGGGGGGCAAGCGUUGUUCGGAAUUACUGGGCGUAAAGGGUUUGUAGGUGGCUUGCUAAGUCAGACGUGAAAUCCCUCAGCUUAACUGGGGAACUGCGUCUGAUACUGGCGAGCUUGAGUGCAGGAGAGGAACGCGGAAUUCCAGGUGUAGCGGUGAAAUGCGUAGAUAUCUGGAGGAACACCGGUGGCGAAGGCGGCGUUCUGGACUGCAACUGACACUGAAAAACGAAAGCCAGGGGAGCAAACGGG
rnacentral:rRNA from 1 species